UUGGAGGGCAGUCUGGUGCCAGCAGCCGCGGUAAUUCCAGCUCCAAUAGCGUAUAUUAAAGUUGUUGCAGUUAAAAAGCUCGUAGUUGAAUUUCGGGAUCAAAUUGUCGGUCGUGCCUCGGUACGCACUGGUAUUAUUGGUUCCUACCUUCUGAAGAACCGCGAUGUCAUUAAUUUGGUGUCGUGGGGAAUCAGGACUGUUACUUUGAAAAAAUUAGAGUGUUUAAAGCAGGCUUACGCUUGAAUACAUUAGCAUGGAAUAAUGAAAUAGGACGUUUGAUUCUAUUUUGUUGGUUCCUAGGAUUGACGUAAUGAUUAAUGGGGAUAGUUGGGGGCAUUAGUAUUCAAUUGUCAGAGGUGAAAUUCUUGGAUUUAUUGAAGACUAACUACUGCGAAAGCAUUUGCCAAGGAUGUUUUCAUUAAUCAAGAACGAAAGUUAGGGGAUCGAAGACGAUCAGAUACCGUCGUAGUCUUAACCAUAAACUAUGCCGACUAGGGAUCGGAUGAUGUUAAUUUUUUAAUGACUCAUUCGGCGCCUUACGGGAAAC
rnacentral:rRNA from 1 species